rnacentral:rRNA from 1 species
AUUGAACGCUAGCGGCAUGCCUUACACAUGCAAGUCGAACGGCAGCACGGGGGNAACCCUGGUGGCGAGUGGCGAACGGGUGAGUAAUGCAUCGGAACGUGCCCAUCGAUGGGGGAUAACUGCGCGAAAGCGUUGCUAAUACCGCAUACGACCUACGGGUGAAAGCAGGGGACCGCAAGGCCUUGCGUCGAUGGAGCGGCCGAUGCCGGAUUAGCUAGUUGGUGAGGUAAAGGCUCACCAAGGCGACGAUCCGUAGCUGGUCUGAGAGGACGACCCAGCCACACUGGGACUGAGACACGGCCCAGACUCCUACGGGAGGCAGCAGUGGGGAAUCUUGGACAAUGGGCGAAAGCCUGAUCCAGCAAUGCCGCGUGUGGGAAGAAGGCCUUCGGGUUGCAAACCACUUUUGGCGGGAAAGAAAUGGUCUGUGCUAAUACCACGGAUUGAUGACGGUACCCGCAGAAUAAGCACCGGCUAACUACGUG